rnacentral:rRNA from 1 species
CUGGCGGCGUGCUAAUACAUGCAAGUCGAACGAGAGCGACCGGUGCUUGCACUGGUCAAUCUAGUGGCGAACGGGUGAGUAACACGUGGGUAACCUGCCCAUCAGAGGGGGAUAACAUCCGGAAACGGAUGCUAAAACCGCAUAGGUCUUCGAACCGCAUGGUUUGAAGAGGAAAAGAGGCGCAAGCUUCUGCUGAUGGAUGGACCCGCGGUGCAUUAGCUAGUUGGUGAGGUAACGGCUCACCAAGGCCGUGAUGCAUAGCCGACCUGAGAGGGUGAUCGGCCACAUUGGGACUGAGACACGGCCCAAACUCCUACGGGAGGCAGCAGUAGGGAAUCUUCCGCAAUGGACGCAAGUCUGACGGAGCAACGCCGCGUGAGUGAAGAAGGUUUUCGGAUCGUAAAACUCUGUUGUUAGAGAAGAACAAGUGCUAGAGUAACUGUUAGCGCCUUGACGGUAUCUAACCAGAAAGCCACGGCUAACUACGUGCCAGCAGCCGCGGUAAUACGUAGGUGGCAAGCGUUGUCCGGAUUUAUUGGGCGUAAAGCGAGCGCAGGCGGUUCCUUAAGUCUGAUGUGAAAGCCCCCGGCUCAACCGGGGAGGGUCAUUGGAAACUGGGGAACUUGAGUGCAGAAGAGGAGAGUGGAAUUCCAUGUGUAGCGGUGAAAUGCGUAGAUAUAUGGAGGAACACCAGUGGCGAAGGCGACUCUCUGGUCUGUAACUGACGCUGAGGCUCGAAAGCGUGGGUAGCAAACAGGAUUAGAUACCCUGGUAGUCCACGCCAUAAACGAUGAGUGCUAAGUGUUGGAGGGUUUCCGCCCUUCAGUGCUGCGGUUAACGCAUUAAGCACUCCGCCUGGGG